rnacentral:rRNA from 1 species
CACGUAGGGUGCGAGCGUUGUCCGGAAUUAUUGGGCGUAAAGAGCUCGUAGGCGGUUUGUCGCGUCUGCCGUGAAAGUCCGGGGCUCAACUCCGGAUCUGCGGUGGGUACGGGCAGACUAGAGUGAUGUAGGGGAGACUGGAAUUCCUGGUGUAGCGGUGAAAUGCGCAGAUAUCAGGAGGAACACCGAUGGCGAAGGCAGGUCUCUGGGCAUUAACUGACGCUGAGGCACGAAGGUCAGGGGAGCAAACGGG